CCUGGCUCAGAUUGAACGCUGGCGGCAUGCUUUACACAUGCAAGUCGAACGGUAACAGGGAGCUUGCUCCGCUGACGAGUGGCGAACGGGUGAGUAAUGCAUCGGAACGUGCCGUGUAAUGGGGGAUAACGUAGCGAAAGUUACGCUAAUACCGCAUACGCCCUGAGGGGGAAAGUGGGGGACCGCAAGGCCUCACGUUAUACGAGCGGCCGAUGUCGGAUUAGCUAGUUGGUGGGGUAAAGCCUACCAAGGCGACGAUCCGUAGCGGGUCUGAGAGGAUGAUCCGCCACACUGGGACUGAGACACGGCCCAGACUCCUACGGGAGGCAGCAGUGGGGAAUUUUGGACAAUGGGGGCAACCCUGAUCCAGCCAUGCCGCGUGAGUGAAGAAGGCCUCGGUGUAAG
rnacentral:rRNA from 1 species